GAAAGGGAUUUGCAAAAUGUCAAACAAUAUCACUGUAGUCACUAAAAUUGUUUGUUUUUGGAAAAAACGAAAAACAAAAUAAGACUUGAGAAGCUGCAUUUGGCUUAGGUAUGUGUAAGUGAAUAGAGGAAACAGUAUUUAGAGGAAAAGAGAAGAGAUGGAAGAAUAGAGAAAGGAGGGCAUUGGGGAGACAUGGAGCUAUGCUUUGGUUCCUGAUGACUUCUGGAAUUGGUUUUUGUUUGUUUUGUUUUUGACACACCCAUGGCAUGCAGAAGUUCCCCGGCCAAGGAUUGAACUUGAGCCACGGCAGUGACUAUGCCAAAUCCUUAACUGCUAGGCCACCAGGGAACUCCUGAACCUUUUUUUUUUUUUAUCUUUCUUGAAACCUGGCUCUACCCAAUUUAGAGUUCUAGAUUGCUGUAUAUUCUUCCAGUAACCCCCCCUUUCUUUUUAACCCACUUGAAAAGGUUGUAUUCCUUAUUUGAGGAUCAUAAAAUCUCAGCCCACAUAUUCAGGAGUACAAAAUAGAACCUUUUAAAUUUUUCUGUAAAUUGACUUAAUUUUAUCAUUGGGCUUUCAUCCUGCUGGGUUGUCGAGUCAUUCCUGGGGUUUCUCUGACUGUCUCCAUGUAUGUUAAGUAUUGGGGAGCUCAAGCUGCUUCCUUGAGGUCUCUAAAGAUAGGCCAGAAAGACACUGUGAUCAGCCUGGAGUGGCUUCUCCCAGCCACGAGGAAGCGCAGGCCCCUUCUCUGUCUUGGUGAGGAGGUGGGUCCUGAUGGAACAGAGAAAACCUAAGGCAUAUUCUGAUGGAAUCUUUCCAUUUGGUUUUCUUGAGCUAUUUAGAGAGGGAAAGAGAAUUUAGGGGAUUCUGAUCCCAUCGUAGUGAGAGUACAGAGAGAGGGUGCAAUUGCCCAGGGACCACAUAAUCCAUUUUCAGCCCCGCUCCCUACUCUCAGCCACUCCUUACAUUUGCUGAAACUAAAAUCUUUAUGGGGCUCUCUUUUUCUCUCGUCCAUGAACGCGUGCUCCCUUCAGCUCCCACCUUCCCUAUGCCCCCUGGUAGGGAUGAUAGAAGAGUCCACAAGCAUUUUGAUGGCCUGGGGAAAAGUCUUGGGGACACCGCCAUUCUGGUCUACACACGGCAGGAAUCACGGUGGGAUCUGUUCUUCCACAUCUAUCCCUUUCUUCCCAUGUAUUCUCCUGACAGCCCUCGUCCUUGCGUGCCCAGAUCCACCUGGCCUCCCUGCCUUGGUGGGCCAGUCUGUGUACAAGUCCUCAGACGAGUCCUCCGGAGCUGCCGUGUUCAGCAUGUCACACCAUUCAUUUGGCACGUAGCACAUGUAGCUCCUUUCUGCAGGUCAUUUCUUUAUGUGCAUGGCUUGUCUUCCCUUGAGAGAGAUUAUUUUCUCUUUCUGUGGAUCCUCCAGGCCUGCAUGACACAGAGCAUUUGCUGCCCCUGCUGCUGUAAUGAGGACAUCAAAGGGGUCUUUGGAUGGUUACAAGUAAAUCAUUUGAUAACUUUUAUUUAGCACUUGUUGUUUGCCACACUCUGCUGGGUCCUGGGGUCUCAAAGAUGAACUGGUUACAUUUCUUAUGUGCUCAUGAGAAGGCAGCAUGGUAUGUGCCAGAAGAACUCAGUAGGGGAGGGCUGGUCUCCUUAGUCCAGCUGACCCCAGCCACCUCAGGCUUGUUUAGAAACCAUCCUCUCUGUGCCCCAGCUACCCUCAGAAUUUAUCCAUUACUGUACUUAGCAUGCAAUCUGUAUGUUAAAAAAAUCUAACACUUUAUUAUGAAAAAAUUUAAAUAUACAUAUGAGAAGAAAGACAAACAGAACAAUGGUCCCUCCCUGCUUCAACCUUUUUUUUUUUUUCCUUUUUAGGGCUGCUCCUGCAGCAUGUGGAAGUUCCAGGGCUAGGGGUUGAACUGGAUCUGCAGCUGCAGCCUAUGCUACAGCCACAGCAAUGCUGGAUCUGAGCCACAUCUGUGGUCUACACUUCAGCUUGCAGCAAUGCCAGAUCCUUAACCCACUGAGUGAGGCCAGGGAUCAAACACACCUCCUCAUGGGCACUAUGCUGGCUUGUUAACCCACAACAACAAUAGGAGCCACAAUAGGAACUCCAGCUUUAACAAUUAUUAUUUUUUUAUUUUAUUUUUUUAAUUUUUUUUUGUCUUUUUGCCAUUUCUUGGGCUGCUCCCAUGGCAUAUGGAGGUUCCCAGGCUAGGGGGCGAAUCGGAGCUGUAGCUGCCAGCCUACGCAAGAGCCACAGCAACGUGGGAUCCGAGCCACGUCUGCAACCUACACCACAGCUCACGGCAACGCUGGAUCGUUAACCCACUGAGCAAAGCCAGGGACCGAACCCGCAACCUCAUGGGUCCUAGUCGGAUUCGUUAACCACUGCGCCAUGAGGGGAACUCCAUCCGCUUUAACAAUUAUUGACUGUGCCAUUCUCCUUAAUUAUUUUUCCCGGGAGAGAAAUAUAAGGCAAAUCCAAGAUAGUGUAUCAUUGCAUUCACUAAUACUUCAGGAUCUAUCUCUAAAAGAUAUAAAGACUUUUAAAAAAAAUGUUGCUAUAAAACUAUGAUCAUACGUAACAAAAUUAAUAAUAAUUCUUUAAUGUCAUCUAAUAUCUGGUUCAUUUUUAUUUUUUCUCCAGUUGUCUCCAAGGUGUCUUUUUAAAAUAGUUUUUAUUAAAAAAAAUUUUUUUUGGAGUAAUGAGGACUUACAAUGUUGUGUUAGUUUCAGGUGUACAGCAAAGUGAAUCAGUUAUACAUAUACAUAUAUGCAUUCCUUUUCAGAUUCUUCUUCCAUAUAGAUUAUUACACAGUAUUGAGUAGAUGCCUGUGCUUUACAGUAGGUCCUUGUUGCUUAUAUAUCUUACAUAUUGUAGUGUGCAUAUGUUAAUCCCAACCUCCUAAUUUGUCCCCCUCUCCAGUGUUUCUCCUUUGGUAACCAUAAGUUUGGUUUCCAAAUUUUUGAGUCUGUUUCUAUUUUGUGAAUAAGUUCUUUUGUAUCAUUUUAAAAAUUAUAUCCCAUAUAUAAGUGAUAUUUUAUGCUUCUUGUCUUUGUCUGACUUAACUUCACUUGGUAUGAUAAUUUCUAGGUCCAUUCAUGUUGUUGCAGAUAAAAAUAGUUUUUUUUUUAAAGUUAGAUCUGGGAAUUCCUUUCGUGUCUCAGUGGAAACAGAUCUGACUAGUAUUCAUGAGGACUCAGGUUUGAUCCCUGGCCUUGCUCAGUGGGUUAAGGAUCCGGUGUUGCCGUGGGCUGUGGUGUAGCUCACAGAUGCGGCUCUGAUCUAGUGUUGCUGUGGCUGUGGGGUAGGCCAGGGGCUACAGCUCCGAUUCUACCCCCAACCUGGGAACCUCCAUAUGCCAAAGGUUUGGCCCUAAAAAGGCCAAAAAAAAAGAAAACGUUAGAUCUGUAGUUGCAUUGAUUGGUAUAUUUCUGAAGUUUCUUUUAAGUUCCCACCACUACCCUUCAUCUCUAUAUAUUUGUUGAAGAAAUCAGCUCAGUUGCUCUGUUUCCAUAAUCUAGAUCUGGCUGAUUCCACCCUUGUAGUAUUUUUACCACGUCCUUCUAGCCCCUGAAUUCUUGUCAAUUGGCAGUUUGAUCUAGAGACUUAAUCACAGUCAGGUUCUAUUUUUCUGACAAUAAUAUAUCAUCGUUUCAUAUUUUCAAUUAUGCCACAUCAGGAUGCACAUAAUGCUCUGUUAUCCUGCGUUCUCAUGGUCUAUUUUCUUGUCUUUUCUAUUUGAUUUGCUGUUCCUUGAGAGGAGGGACUCUCGAUUAUUGUAGCUCCCACUGUGCUUAGUGCCUCCUCAUUCCUCAGUAACUGAAGAGCCAGUGAGUAGUUCUGCUGAGGGACUGGGAGAGAUUUCCUGUGGGAUGUGGGUUCUGAAAGAUGAUGAGCAGGCAUUGGCAGGUAGAUGAUGAGGCAGGCAUUCCAAGGACCAGACCUGGGUGGGUUCUGGAGUCUGCUUAACCCUUGAAGGCAUAGUCAUGCUUAAAGACAGAGAAGGCACAAGCAAUGCAGUGGCAUUCACGUUAGCCCUGGUGGUGAUGUGGGCAGAGAGAGUAGCUCACAAGAUAGUGCAGAGGCCACUUAUCUAGCCCCACUAGGAACUGCCAGUGGACUAAAAAAGCCCACUGAACCUCAGACGAGGGUUGCUGGGAAGCUGUGUUAGUAGCACUUGGGGGACUCAAUUGUCUUAUAGACAUCAGCCCCAUUCAUCCACUUGUUUGUGGAGAGAGAAGAGCAAGGAUCUUGCAGAACCAUGGCUUUAGACUCAGAUCUAGCUCCGACUCUGGUUGGCUGAGUGGCCCUGGGUAAGUCCUCUAACAGUUUUGAGCCUCAAUCUAGAAAGUGGUGAUAAUAACUCUGACCUCAGAGACUAGUUGUGAGAAGUCUACAUUAAGCAUCUAAUAUGGCAACUGGUAUAGUUUAGAGGUGAAUGUGUGCUGAUUCUUUCUUCUAUUCUACAAACCCUUAGAGGGACUGAUGACUACAGGGCACCAUGCCAGGCAGGAGGAGGCAGACUGUGUCCUCCAGAACCCCAAGCCCAGUAAUGGAGGGGAUAAGGUAAGUGAUACAGACUCACAGACAUAGAAAACAAACUUAUGGAGUUCCGGUUGUGGCACAGCAGAAGCGAAUCCAACUAGUAUCCAUGAGGAUGCAGAUGAUAGGUCAUCUCCAGUACAGCAGUUCAAGGUAUGGUCUGGAGACGUCUGCAGGUCCUGGAGAACUUUGCAGGGGUGGAACUGAGUUGGUAAAAACUCAGGCAGAGGUAAAGCAUCAAAAAGAGAUGGUCUGAAGAGAGAGAAGAAACAGGUAUCCUGAGAGAAGGAAGGAGGAGAAACGGAGAGAGAAUACUGGCUGUGUUCCCAAUGUCUUUCCAGGGCUUUGGUUGCCUUCAUGCCCCUGGGUUUUAUAAAUUACCCCUGUAACCUUAGAAGCAAUUUUCCCUUUCGAUUAAGCUAGCUCAAUUUGAUUUCUGUUGUUGUUAACCAAACAGAUCUUAACUCAGGCCGUCAAUUUCUGUAAGGCUGAAAUUCUUGUGAAGGUUAGACACAUUACUCUUGUCUCCAGGUGCAAUGGAAAAAUAUCUCGGAAAAAAAUGGAAAAUAACUUGUCAUAAGAGAAAAAUAGGAACAUUAUCAAGUUGUCCUUAUUUAAAAUUUUAGCAAUGUUUAUAGAUAUCACGGUCUUCAGAAGGGCAAGUAAAAUGUGCUCAGUGGGUGAUCUGCCAGGGAAGUUAAGGAGCAUCUGUCUUUUGUUGGCUAAUCUAGUUACCUAGUCUCUGCUCUGAUGAAUUGGAGUGUGGGUGUGUGACUGCACAUCCUAGACACGCCCUUUGGCUGUUACCUAGUCCAAGUUUGUACUGCUGGCCACAUGAAAGGCCAAUUAAUCAAGAGAUGAGGGGAGGCAAGGAAUAGUGACUUUAUUCAGAAAGCCAGCAGACUGAAAAGAUGGUGGACUAGUGUCCCAAAGAACCAUCUUCCCUGAAUAGAAUUCAGGCUUCUUUGUAUCUUUCAUUUUUUUAUUAAAGCAUAGUUGAU
rnacentral:tRNA from 1 species